rnacentral:rRNA from 1 species
UACGUAGGUGGCAAGCGUUGUCCAGAUUUACUGGGCGUAAAGGAUGCGUAGGCGGACAUUUAAGUCAGAUGUGAAAUACCCGAGCUUAACUUGGGUGCUGCAUUUGAAACUGGGUGUCUAGAGUGCAGGAGAGGUAAGUGGAAUUCCUAGUGUAGCGGUGAAAUGCGUAGAGAUUAGGAAGAACACCAGUGGCGAAGGCGACUUACUGGACUGUAACUGACGCUGAGGCAUGAAAGCGUGGGGAGCAAACAGG